GCCUGUGACUGACAACCGCGGCCCGCAACUACCUCCCCGUUCGCUGCGACCUCGAGAGCUCUAGCUCCUUGUUCCGACGUUGAGGCAGCAAGUGGUUAUUUAUCAAGCCUCCCCGCCCACUCUGCCGCCUCCAAUCCACCGGCUUAAUUUACUUGCCUGGACUCGAUAUUUGUGAACAGUUUCGACCAGUUCCUGGCGCGGCUUCGACUGCGGACAUGUCCCCGCAAAGCGCAUGUUCGAAUCACACCCGGUAGUGCGCCUGCGCAAGAAGCUACUGCCGCGAGGAUAGGGCACGUUCUGCCCCGCCGCGAAUGCUGGGUCACGUUAAGUGAGAGAAAACUGAUCCACAGUGACCCAAAAACAAAAUACAGCAGAGGCUGCAAAUUUCAACUCAAAAGAUAUUGUUGGAAACACUCAGCAGGUCAAACAGUCUCUAUGGAGAGGACAACAGCAUCAAUGCUUAAGGGUGUUAGGAGAGGAAGAUUUACAGAUGGGAAACUAAAACCAAUUAUCAAGAUCUGACAGAGUCACUUGAUUCAUCAGGACCUGAAUAUCAUCAGCCUCUGAACAUUUAAGGAGAAACGUUUGUCCAUGUGAAGAGAUUUCAAACAUCAGUGUGACUGGAAAAGCAGCAAGAUGCACACACCCGAUUGAGAGUGUUCCAGUACACAGCCUGAAAAGAAUCACCGCAUUCACAGCGAGGAGAAAAUGUACAAGUGUUGUGUAUGUGGACGAGGCUUCAGCUGAUCUUCCAAGUUGGAGAGACAGAAGGACACCAGCACCAUGGAGAAACCAUGGAAGUGUGGAGAUUGUGGGAAAGGAUUCAAAUACCAAUUGCGGCUGGAAACUCGACACAUUCACACUGGGGAGAGACCAUUCCCCUGCUCCUUGUGUGGGAAGGGAUUCACUCAGUCAUCCGACCUUCUGAGACACCAACUCACUCACACUGAGGAGAGGCCGUUCACCUGCUCCAUGUGUGGGAAGGGAUUCAUUAAUUCAUCAGAUCUUCGGACACACCAUCGAGUUCACACUGGAGAGAGGCCGUUCACCUGCUCUGCCUGUGGGAAGGGAUUCAUUCAUUCAUCUGACUUUUUGAUACACCAGCGAGUUCAUACUGGGGAGAAGCCGUUCACCUCUCCAUGUGUGGCAAUAGAUUCUCCCGAUUAUCCCUGCUCAAGGCACACCAGCUGGUUCACACUGAUCAGAGACCUUUUAAAUGUUCUGACUGCGAGAAGAGCUUUAAAAGCAAGUGUAAAUUGCUGGCACAUUGGGGAGAGGCUGUUCACUGGCACCAAGUGUGGGAAGGGAUUCGUCCAUUCAUCCCACUUGGUGAGACACCAGCGAGUUCAGA